rnacentral:tRNA from 1 species
GGCGGUGUAGCUCAGCCUGGUUGGAGCGCUAGACUCAUAAUCUAGAGGUCACGGGUUCAAAUCCCGUCACCGCCA